UACGUAGGGUCCGAGCGUUGUCCGGAAUUAUUGGGCGUAAAGGGCUCGUAGGCGGUUCGUCACGUCGGGAGUGAAAACUCGGAGCUUAACUCCGGAACUGCCGUUGAUACUGCAAGCCUUGAGUACAGUUGAGGUGGGCGGAAUACAUCAUGUAGAGGUGAAAUUCUUAGAUAUGAUGUAGAACACCGAUUGCGAAGGCAGCUCACUAAAGUGUAACUGACGCUGAGGCACGAAAGCGUGGGGAUCAAACAGG
rnacentral:rRNA from 1 species